rnacentral:rRNA from 1 species
CCGUAUAGGGGAGCCGCAGGGAAACCGAGUCUUAACCGGGCGUUAAGUUGCAGGGUAUAGACCCGAAACCCGGUGAUCUAGCCAUGGGCAGGUUGAAGGUUGGGUAACACUAACUGGAGGACCGAACCGACUAAUGUUGAAAAAUUAGCGGAUGACCUGUGGCUGGGGGUGAAAGGCCAAUCAAACCGGGAGAUAGCUGGUUCUCCCCGAAAGCUAUUUAGGUAGCGCCUCGUGAAUUCAUCUCCGGGGGUAGAGCACUGUUUCGGCUAGGGGGCCAUCCCGGCUUACCAACCCGAUGCAAACUGCGAAUACCGGAGAAUGUUAUCACGGGAGACACACGGCGGGUGCUAACGUCCGUCGUGAAGAGGGAAACAACCCAGACCGCCAGCUAAGGUCCCAAAGUCAUGGUUAAGUGGGAAACGAUGUGGGAAGGCCCAGACAGCCAGGAUGUUGGCUUAGAAGCAGCCAUCAUUUAAAGAAAGCGUAAUAGCUCACUGGUCGAGUCGGCCUGCGCGGAAGAUGUAACGGGGCUAAACCAU